AAGGGUAUAGCUCAGUGAUAGAGCACAUGCUUAGCUUGCAUGAGGUCCUGGGUUUAAUACCCAGUACCUCCU
rnacentral:tRNA from 1 species